rnacentral:rRNA from 1 species
GAUGAACGCUAGCUACAGGCUUAACACAUGCAAGUCGAGGGGAAACGAUAUUGGAAGCUUGCUUCUGAUAGGCGUCGACCGGCGCACGGGUGAGUAACGCGUAUCCAACCUGCCCAUCACUUGGGGAUAACCUUGCGAAAGUAAGACUAAUACCCAAUGACGUCUCUAGAAGACAUCUGAAAGAGAUUAAAGAUUUAUCGGUGAUGGAUGGGGAUGCGUCUGAUUAGCUUGUUGGCGGGGUAACGGCCCACCAAGGCGACGAUCAGUAGGGGUUCUGAGAGGAAGGUCCCCCCACAUUGGAACUGAGACACGGUCCAAACUCCUACGGGAGGCAGCAGUGAGGAAUAUUGGUCAAUGGGCGAGAGCCUGAACCAGCCAAGUAGCGUGAGGGAUGAAGGCUCUAGUGGGUCGUAAACCUUCUUUUAUAGUGGGAAUUAAACGUUUUCCACGUUGUGGUAAUUUUUGUAUGUACCAUA